rnacentral:rRNA from 1 species
UACGUAGGUGGCAAGCGUUGUUCGGAUUUACUGGGCGUAAAGGGCGCGUAGGCGGCGCGUAAAGUCGGACAUGAAAUCAUUGGGCUUAACCCAAUGGCUGUGCCCGAUACUUGCGUGCUUAGAGUGCGGGAGAGGCAAUCGGAAUUCUCGGUGUAGCGGUGAAAUGCGUAGAUAUCGAGAGGAACUCAAGUGACGAAGGUGGGUUGCUGGACCGACACUGACGCUGAGGCGCGAAAGCUAGGGGAGCAAACGGG